AUGACGGCGUUAACCCAGCGGUGCUUUGGCGCCGCCUGCUGGAGGAGUCCGGAACUGCACCCGGAGCCGAACUGACGCCGCUCUGUCCGGCCUCUGAUAAAACUGACGUCUUCAUCGCUGGACAGAAAGCAUUCUUGCAAUAUCUACACAGAGCAGCUGAGCAUCAGUGUGCCACCAACAGACAUCUCCUGUGAAAACAGUGCAAAUCCAAACCACAGUUAUGGACACGUUACAAACACUGUCAGAUUUGGAUGCAGGAGGAGAUGCUGCAGACCAUUGAUUCUCCAUAUCCAACAGGGGAAUCUCAGUGUGAAUGAAAAAGCAACAGAUCAGGAAUGCAAAUUAAUUAUAAAAUUCCAUGUUUUGUUUUGCUGCAUUCCUGUCCAAAUGAAGACUUUUGACCAAAGGGGAAAUUACCCAUCUCGUCCUGCUCUUGGAUGGACGUUUCCAUGUGACCCUGCUACCAGGACAAGUGGCUAUAACAGCCCAGUUCCCAACAAAUCCAUUGGCUUCAGUGUGAUGCAAUUCCAUCAUCCCACCCCCACUCCUGUCCUUUUCAAAGCACUAGUUAAUAUUUAAAUCUAAACAGUAGUCUUUUUUUUUUUCUAAUCUGGUCAAGUUUAUAUUGCAGAAAGAUUAACCCAAGAACAAGCACAACCCCACUUGGCCCUAUCACUUGCAAUACAAAUCCAAUGUAUCCACAAUGUAUACACAGAAAUACAUGUCAAAUUUCCUCUAUGCAGCCUUGCUCUGGGGAGGGGAAGGGGGUAGAAGGAGGCUGCAUGUGACAGCUGCUAACUAUGCUGCUUAAUGCACUUCUGGAAGUUGCAGAGAUGAGAACUAUGCGAAAAACCUCUCUGAAAAAUGGCAUAUUUUCAUGAAUGUUCUUUUCCCACAAUU